rnacentral:rRNA from 1 species
GUCCUAGCCCUAAACGAUGCUCAUUAGAUGUGGGAGGUAUCGACCCCUUCCGCGUCGCAGCUAACGCAUUAAAUGAGCCGCCUGGGGAGUACGGCCGCAAGGUUGAAACUCAAAGGAAUUGACGGGGGCCCGCACAAGCGGUGGAACAUGUGGUUUAAUUCGACGCAACGCGAAGAACCUUACCUGGGCUUGAACUACUGGUAGUAAGCCUUUGGAAACAGAGGCUGAUCCGCAAGGAAGCCAGCAGAGGUGCUGCAUGGUUGUCGU